GGGGAUGUAGCUCAGUGGUAGAACAGUUGUCUAGCAAGCACAAGGCCCUGGGUUCCAUUUCCAGCUCUCCCA
rnacentral:tRNA from 1 species